UAGUGACUGAUGCUCUCUCCUCUCCUCAGGUAUCCAUAGUGACUGAUGCUGUCUCCUCUCCUCAGGUAUCCAUAGUGACUGAUGCUGUCUCCUCUCCUCAGGUAUCCAUAGUGACUGAUGCUCUCUCCUCUCCUCAGGUAUCCAUAGUGACUGAUGCUGUCUCCUCUCCUCAGGUAUCCAUAGUGACUGAUGCUGUCUCCUCUCCUCAGGUAUCCAUAGUGACUGAUGCUGUCUCCUCUCCUCAGGUAUCCAUAGUGACUGAUGCUCUCUCCUCUCCUCAGGUAUCCAUAGUGACUGAUGCUCUCUCCUCUCCUCAGGUAUCCAUAGUGACUGAUGCUCUCUCCUCUCCUCAGGUAUCCAUAGUGACUGAUGCUGUCUCCUCAGGUAUCCAUAGUGACUGAUGCUCUCUCCUCUCCUCAGGUAUCCAUAGUGACUGAUGCUGUCUCCUCAGGUAUCCAU